rnacentral:rRNA from 1 species
AUUGAACGCUGGCGGCAGGCCUAACACAUGCAAGUCGAACGAGUGGCGGACGGGUGAGUAAUGUCUGGGAAACUGCCUGAUGGAGGGGGCUAACUACUGGAAACGGUAGCUAAUACCGCAUACCAUCGGAUGUGCCCAGAUGGGAGUAGCUAGUAGGUGGGGUAACGGCUCACCUAGGCGACGAUCCCUAGCUGGUCUGAGAGGAUGACCAGCCACACUGGAACUGAGACACGGUCCAGACUCCUACGGGAGGCAGCAGUGGGGAAUAGUGCACAAUGGGCGCAAGCCUGAUGCAGCCAUGCCGCGUGAAUGAAGAAGGCCUUCGGGUUGUAAAGUACUGUCAGCGGGGAGGCGGUACCCGCAGAAGAAGCACCGGCUAACUCCGUGCCAGCCGCCGCGGUAAUUC